rnacentral:rRNA from 1 species
UACGUAGGGCGCAAGCGUUGUCCGGAAUUAUUGGGCGUAAAGAGCUCGUAGGCGGCCCUCUCAGUCGGAUGUGAAAUCCCCAGGCUUAACCUGGGAACGGCAUCCGAUACUGGAGGGCUUGAAUUCGGGAGAGGGAUGCAGAAUUCCAGGUGUAGCGGUGAAAUGCGUAGAUAUCUGGAGGAAUACCGGUGGCGAAGGCGGCAUCCUGGACCGAGAUUGACGCUGAGGAGCGAAAGCUAGGGGAGCAAACGGG